CCUACGGGAGGCAGCAGUGAGGAAUAUUGGACAAUGGGCGCAAGCCUGAUCCAGCCAUGCCGCGUGAGUGACGAAGGCCUUCGGGUUGUAAAGCUCUUUCAGAUGCGAAGCGGUAACAUCAGAAGAAGCCCCGGCUAAAUUCGUGCCAGCAGCCGCGGUAAUACGAAUGGGGCAAGCGUUGUUCGGAAUCACUGGGCUUAAAGCGUGCGUAGGCGGAUUUGCAAGUCAGAAGUGAAAUCCCAGGGCUCAACCCUGGAAUUGCUUUUGAAACUGCAAGUCUAGAAUGUUGGAGAGGUUAGCAGAAUUCCGAGUGUAGAGGUGAAAUUCGCAGAUAUUCGGAGGAAUACCAAUGGCGUAGGCAGCUAACUGGCACUAUUGACGCUGAGGCACGAAAGCGUGGGGAGCAAACAGGAUUAGAUACCCUAGUAGUC
rnacentral:rRNA from 1 species